rnacentral:rRNA from 1 species
GUAGGUGGCAAGCGUUGUCCGGAAUUAUUGGGCGUAAAGCGCGCGCAGGUGGGUUCUUUAAGUCUGAUGUGAAAGCCCCCGGGCUCAACCGGGGAGGGUCAUUGGAAACUGGGGAACUUGAGUGCAGGAGAGGAAAGUGGAAUUCCACGUGUAGCGGUGAAAUGCGUAGAUAUGUGGAGGAACACCAGUGGCGAAGGCGACUUUCCGGCCUGUAACUGACACUGAGGCGCGAAAGCGUGGGGAGCAAACAGGAUUAGAUACCCUGGUAGUCCACGCCGUAAACGAUGAGUGCUAAGUGUUGGGGGGUUUCCGCCCCUCAGUGCUGCAGCUAACGCAUUAAGCACUCCGCCUGGGGAGUACGGUCGCAAAGACUG